AGGAUUUAACUGAUAAACGCAUAAUUUUAUCUAUUUAUUUAUAUUUUUUUUAAAAGUAUUGAUUUGG
rnacentral:tRNA from 1 species